rnacentral:rRNA from 1 species
GACGGAGGAUGCAAGUGUUAUCCGGAAUUAUUGGGCGUAAAGCGUCCGCAGGUGGCUAUUCAAGUCUGCGGUCAAAGACUGGGGCUUAACCCUGGAAAGGCCGUGGAAACUGAAGAGCUAGAGUGCAGUAGGGGUAGAGGGAAUUCCCGGUGUAGCGGUGAAAUGCGUAGAGCUCGGGAAGAACAUCGGUGGCGAAAGCGCUCUGCUGGACUGCAACUGACACUCAGGGACGAAAGCUAGGGGAGCGAAUGGG